CACCUUCCAGCCCAGGAGUCUGAGGAGCACACGUCCUGUGAGUGUCCCCACCAUGGCCUGGACGGUGCUUCUGCUUGGGCUCCUCGCUUAUGGCUCAGGUGUGGAUUCUCAGACUGUGGUGACCCAGGAGCCAUUGCAGUCAGUGUCUCCAGGAGGGACAGUCACACUCACCUGUGGCCUUAGCUCUGGGUCAGUCUCUACCGGUUACUACCCCAGCUGGUACCAGCAGACACCAGGCCGGUCUCCCCGCAUGCUUAUAUACAGCACAAACUACCGCCCCUCUGGGGUUCCCAGUCGCUUCUCUGGAUCCAUCUCAGGGAACAAAGCCGCCCUUACCAUCACGGGGGCCCAGCCUGAGGACGAGGCUGACUAUUACUGUGCUCUGUAUAUGGGUAGUUACACUUCCACACUGAUGCAAACCCAUGGGGAAGUUCAACCAAAACCUCCACAUAUGCACAGAAUGGCUCAGCCUUAA